GCUCUUUUAAGAGGUGUCCAGUGUGAGGUGCAAUUGCUGGAGUCUGGGGGAAGCUUAGUGCAGCCUGGAAAGUCCCUGAAACUCUCCUGUGCAGCCUCUGGGUUCAACUUUGGUGGCUAUGGAAUGAGCUGGGUCCGCCAGGCUUCCGGGAAGGGUUUGGAGUGGGUGUCAACCAUACGUUCUGAUGGUGGUAACACCUGGUAUAGCGACGCUGUGAAGGGCCGGUUCACAAUAUCCAGAGACAAUGCCAAGAACACUCUGUACCUGGAAAUGAGCAGUCUGAGGUCUGAGGACACAGCCAUGUAUUACUGUGCGAAAGACACAGUGAGUGAAUGCUUCUGUGAGCUCAGACAAAAACAGGGCUGUAGGGAACACAGGACCAGCAGGGGGCGCUGA